rnacentral:rRNA from 1 species
AUUGAACGCUGGCGGCAGGCUUAACACAUGCAAGUCGAACGAGCGGCGGACGGGUGAGUAAUGUCUGGGAAACUGCCUGAUGGAUGGGGAUAACUACUGGAAACGGUAGCUAAUACCGCAUACCAUCAGAUGUGCCCAGAUGGGAGUGGCUAGUUGGUGGGGUAACGGCUCACCAAGGCGCCGAUCCCUAGCUGGUCUGAGAGGAUGACCAGCCAGACUGGAACUGAGACACGGUCCAGACUCCUACGGGAGGCAGCAGUGGGGACUAUUGCACAAUGGGCGAAAGCCUGAUGCAGCCAUGCCGCGUGUAUGAAGAAGGCCUUCGGGUUGUAAAGUACUUUCAGCGGGGAGGCGUUACCCGCAGAAGAAGCACCGGCUAACUCCGUGCCAGCAGCCGCGGUAAUAC